rnacentral:rRNA from 1 species
UACGAAGGGGGCGAGCGUUGUUCGGAUUUACUGGGCGUAAAGGGCGCGCAGGCGGCUAUCCAAGUCAGGCGUGAAAGCCCCGGGCUUAACCUGGGAACUGCGUCUGGGACUGGGUGGCUAGAGUUCGGGAGAGGAGAGUGGAAUUCCCAGUGUAGAGGUGAAAUGCGCAGAUAUCAGGAAGAACACCCGUGGCUAAGGCGGCUCUCUAGUACGGUACUGACGCUGAGACGCGAAAGCGUGGGGAGCGAACAGG